CAGUCGCCGCGGUAAUACGAAGGGGGCUAGCGUUGCUCGGAAUGACUGGGCGUAAAGGGCGCGUAGGCGGAUUGUUUAGUUAGGCGUGAAAUUCCUGGGCUUAACCUGGGGACUGCGCUUAAUACAGGCAGUCUAGAGUGAGGGAGAGGGUUGUGGAAUUCCCAGUGUAGAGGUGAAAUUCGUAGAUAUUGGGAAGAACACCGGUGGCGAAGGCGGCAACCUGGUCCUUGACUGACGCUGAGGCGCGAAAGCGUGGGGAGCAAACAGGAUUAGAUACCCCAGUAGUCCCUGUCUCUUAUCC
rnacentral:rRNA from 1 species